GGCAGGGGGCGGUUACCGGGGUCAUGGAGUGACGGGCAUGGGGGGGCGGUUACCGGGGUCACGGGGUGACGGGCUCGGGGGGGCGGUUACCGGGGUCACGGGGUGACGGGCACGGGGGGGCGGUUACCGGGGUCACGGGCACGGGGGUGGUGGUUACCGGGGUUACGAGGAUCCCCCUCCCCUUUCUUCGCUUCCACCGGGCCCCGGGGUUGAGUCAAACUGUUUCCAUGGGAACAGCUUCCUGAGCCAGCCUCCUGAUCGGCGGAGCCAGCCUCCCUGCACGAGGAUUGGACGAAGGCUGAGACACGCCCCCCCCCGUGCUCUUCUGAUUGGCGGGAGGAUCCGAAGCGGCGCUGCGAUUGGCCCGAAAGCCCCGUGUCCAGCGGGGGCGGGGGGCGAGGCCACGAUUCAGCCCCGGGAUCCCGUCGAUGGGUUCCCACAUGGGGGCAAAGAUCGCGGCCAGAGUCCUCGCUAUUACAGAGGUAGGGCGGGGGCAUGGGGCGUAUGGGAGGCAGGGGUGUAUAGGGGUAAGAAGGGGCAGGGGGUGUAUGGGGGUAAGAGGGGGCUGGGGGUAUAUGGGAGCAGGAGUGUAUGGGGGUGAGACAGGGCAGGGGGUGUAUGGGAUAAGAGGCAGGGGGUGUAUGGGGGGAGGCACCCAUGGAGGGGGCAGAGGAAUACAGGGCAGGUGCCCAAGGAUGAAGUGGGUAUCAGGGAUGGGGUUUGGCCCUUUUCCCAUCUGUGGCA